rnacentral:lncRNA from 1 species
AAGCACCCAGGUCAAGCUCCUUCAAAGACCCAUAUGAUUGGAAAUGUUACAAGAAAAGAAAAAUCAAAGUUAAAUACAAUUAUUGGCAGAAAUCAAAACAAGGUACUACUGUAUUGGCUUUUGCCUUUUUCAUUCUUAAUUUUUUAUUUUCGAGAUUAUGUAUUUCAUUGGUGGUAGCUCUUUAGAGAGGGUUAGAAUUUCGAUCGAUAUAGUUGAUCCAUUAUUUAAUUGUCUUUAAUAUAGUGCUUAUGGCUUUUCCUUUUUCUCUUGUGUGAAAAUUAUAGUUAUAAUGACUUGUCCUCUCAAAAUGGAGCCGCGCUGAUCCAUGCAUGUUGUCCUACGUGCAAGUCUGUUUUUCUGAAGAAUACUUUGUGUCUGGGUUACACUGCUCCAAACAAGUUUUAGGGUAUCCUGUCUUGCCAGCUGAAAUGACUC